rnacentral:rRNA from 1 species
GACGAACCGUGCGAACGUUAUUCGGAAUCACUGGGCUUAAAGCGCGUGUAGGCGGCCAAGCAAGUCGGAUGUGAAAGCCCUCGGCUCAACCGGGGAAGUGCACUCGAAACUGCAUGGCUAGAGUCUCGGAGAGGAUCGUGGAAUUCUCGGUGUAGAGGUGAAAUUCGUAGAUAUCGAGAGGAACACCGGUGGCGAAGGCGGCGAUCUGGACGAUGACUGACGCUGAGAUGCGAAAGCGUGGGUAGCAAACAGG